rnacentral:lncRNA from 1 species
UUACUGCUGACAUGAUAGGUAGGCUGAGUCAGGUGAGUUACUGCUGACAUGAUAGGUAAGCUGAGUCAGGUGAGUUACUGCUGGGCUGGCAGAAAGAUGUGAACUCCUGUGGGUCCCCAGGAGGACCAAGAUCAUCGGCAUCCCAAAUGGCACACGAUUCCCUUUAUAGUGCACUAAUGUUGACCAGGGUCCACUAUAUAGAGGAUAGGAUGACAUUUGGGAUGCAUACUUCCUGUACUAUACUGUACGUACCUCCAUUCUGAUGUGAUGUAUCCGACUCUUCUCAGUGAUCUUCAGGUACUGCACCGUUACACACACACACACACACACACACACACACACACACGACAAGGAACACCGUUGGUAUAAUCUCGUGGUCAGACAUAACAAAUGCAACCGGAAAGAUUAAAUAAAGAUUAAAUGUAAUCUUUAUGCAACAUUCUGGUUAUGGGUUGCCAAAAUUACCAUUGUUAUGUGUGUCUCAGGAGUGCCUUCAACCAUACUACUUCAGUUGUUGAUUCUCCUAAGUACCUGUGAUUAGACACUUCUGAUUCAGAGGGGUUGGGUUAAAUGCGGAAGACACAUUUCAGUUCAAGGCAUUCAGUUGUACAACUGACUAGGUACCCCUUAAGGUAUGCAAAAGUGUUUUGUUCUAUUAGCCUAGACUGGUAGUCUGUGUCACACUGCUAAAUUAGGACAGUUUUGCAUUUUAUAGUCAUACACUAUGCCAAAAGUAUGUGGACAGUCCUUCAAAUUUAUGGAUUCGGCUAUUUCACUCACACCCGUUGCUGACAGGUGUAUAAAAUCAAGCAUACAACCAUGCAAUCUCCAUAGACAAAACAUUGGCAGUAGAAUGGCUAUACUGAAGAACUCCGGGACUUUCAACGUGGCUCCGUCAUAGGAUGCUAGCUUUCCAACAAGUUAGUUUGUCCCCUGCUAGAGCUGCCCCAGUCAACUGUAAGUGCUGUUGUUAUUGUGAAGUGGAAACGUCUAGGAGCAACAAUGGCUCAGUCGCGAAGUAGUAGGCCACACAAGCUCAAAGAAAGGGAAAUGCUUCAGCAGUCCCUAUAGGGAAACAUCGUGUCUGUGUUUUAUAGAGAACCAGACGGCUCAAGUUUACGUUAC